rnacentral:rRNA from 1 species
ACGCCGCGUGAGCGAUGACGGAUUUCUGGAUGUAAAGCUCUUUCUUUCAGGGAAGAAAAUGACGGUACCUGACUACACGAAUCGCCGGCUAUAAUACGAGCCAGGCGCCGCGAAUAUUCGAGCCAGCCGCCGCGGUAAU